AACGCAUAUUGCGCUCUUUGGUAUUCCGAAGAGCAUGCUUGUUUGAGUAUCAGUAAACACCUCAAAGUCUUUUUUUUUGACAAAGAAAAAAGACUUUGGACUUGAGCAAUCCCAACGCCAAUCUUUUAAUCAGGAUUGGGGGCGGGUUGCUUGAAAUGCAGGUGCAGCCGGAUUUUCUCCUGAGCUAAAAGCAUAUUCAUUUAGUCCCGUCAAACGGAUUAUUACUUUUGCUGCAGCUAACAUAAAGGGAGUUUGACCACAUUGGCUGACUGAUGCAGGAUUAAACGAGGGAGGGUCGGCAACGGCUCUUUUUUGUUCAACUCGAUCUCAAAUCAAGCAAGACUACCCGCUGAACUUAA
rnacentral:misc_RNA from 1 species